rnacentral:rRNA from 1 species
GACGAACGCUGGCGGCGUGCUUAACACAUGCAAGUCGAACGGAAAGGCCCUGCUUUUGUGGGGUGCUCGAGUGGCGAACGGGUGAGUAACACGUGAGUAACCUGCCCUUGACUUUGGGAUAACUUCAGGAGACUGGGGCUAAUACCGGAUAGGAGCUCCUGCUGCAUGGUGGGGGUUGGAAAGUUUCGGCGGUUGGGGAUGGACUCGCGGCUUAUCAGCUUGUUGGUGGGGUAGUGGCUUACCAAGGCUUUGACGGGUAGCCGGCCUGAGAGGGUGACCGGCCACAUUGGGACUGAGAUACGGCCCAGACUCAUACGGGAGGCAGCAGUGGGGAAUAUUGCACAAUGGGCGGAAGCCUGAUGCAGCAACGCCGCGUGCGGGAUGACGGCCUUCGGGUUGGAAACCGCUUUCGCCUGUGACGAAGCGUGAGUGACGGUAAUGGGUAAAGAAGCACCGGCUAACUACGUG